rnacentral:rRNA from 1 species
UACGUAGGGACCAAGCGUUGUUCGGAUUUACUGGGCGUAAAGGGCGCGUAGGCGGCUUAACAAGUCACUUGUGAAAUCUCCGGGCUUAACUCGGAAUGGCCAAGUGAAACUGUUAUGCUAGAGUGCAGAAGGGGCAAUCGGAAUUCUUGGUGUAGCGGUGAAAUGCGUAGAUAUCAAGAGGAACACCUGAGGUGAAGACGGGUUGCUGGGCUGACACUGACGCUGAGGAGCGAAAGCGUGGGGAGCGAACAGG